ACGCUUGGAGUCAGUCGCGUCGGCCAAGACUCAGCCUUGCCUCGGCUUGGUGUACUUCUUGGCCGACGGGCCAGCAUCGAUUUCGUCCCUUAGAUAAUGGCGAGGGAAAGGUGGCACCUUUGCAGGUGUGUUAUAGUCUCUUGUCGCAUGUGAGGGGUGGGAUUGAGGAACUCAGCACGCACCUUUUGGUGUCGGGGCUUCGGCCCACGUUACGUGCUUAGGAUGUUGGCGUAAUGGCUCUAAACGACCCGUCUUGAAACACGGACCAAGGAGUC
rnacentral:rRNA from 1 species